rnacentral:rRNA from 1 species
GCUCAACAACUAGCUCGCCCCCCCCCAACAUAAAUAUAACCACAGCAAACCUCCCCCCAGAGUAAACAAACCAUUUUUCCCCUUAAGUAUGGGAGACAGAAAUAGGAACAGAAGCAAUAGAGACCAGUACCGCAAGGGAAAGUUGAAAGAGAUAUGAAAAAGCCAUUCAAGCAAAGAGCAGCAGAGCUAUCCCCUCGUACCUCUUGCAUCAUGAUCUAGCCAGUCAUACUCAGGCAAAGUGACCUUUAGUCUGAUUUCCCGAAACUAGACGAGCUACUUCAAGACAGCCUAAUAAGGGCUAACCCGUCCCUGUGGCAAAAGGGUGGGAAGAGCUUCAAGUAGAGGUGAUAAACCUACCGAGCCUAGUAAUAGCUGGUUGCUUAGAAAGUGAAUAUUAGUUCAGCCCCCUGCCUGCCCCCGCUAAACUAGGCCACACCCCCCUAGUGCCAGGUAACCAGAGGAGUUAGUCAAGAAAGGUUCAGCUUUCUUGAAAAGGACACAACCUUCCUGGGAGGGUAAUAUAUUAGCUACCCAAGGUAAACUAUCCAGGUAGGCCUAAAAGCAGCCACCCUCCCGAAAGCGUUAAAGCUCAAGUAGUCCUAAACCACUAAUUCCAAUCAACCAGUCAAGCCCCCCUCCUAAUACUAAGCUAUUCUACCCAGUAGAAGAAACCAUGCUAGAAUGAGUAACAAGAGGCCCAAGCGCCUCUCCUUGCACAAGUGUACCCCGGCCUGGACCCCCCACCGGAAACUACCCGACCCCACCCCCAGAGGGCACUGAACCCCAACCAAACAACCAGAAGAUCGUUCAAAUAAUAUCGUUAACCUUACACCAGAGUGCAACCAAGGAAAGACUAAAAGAGAGAGAAGGAACUCGGCAAACCCAAGCCCCGCCUGUUUACCAAAAACACCGCCUCUUGCAAUUUGAGAAUAAGAGGUCCCGCCUGCCCCGUGACAAUAGUUUAACGGCCGCGGUAUUCUGACCGUGCGAAGGUAGCGCAAUCACUUGUCUUUUAAAUGAAGACCUGUAUGAAUGGCACCACGAGGACUUAGCUGUCUCCCCUCUCCCGUCAGUAAAAUUGACCUACCCGUGCAGAGGCGGGUACACCCCCACAAGACGAGAAGACCCUGUGGAGCUUUAGGCCCAAGAAAGAGGACAUCAAGCCAGAAACAGCCACAGCCUAUCUUUCCCAAUGCCUUUGGUUGGGGCGACCACGGAGAUAAAACAAACCCCCGCGUGGACCGAGAGACCUCUCUUAGAACUAAGAGCCACCCCUCCAAGCACCAGAACAUCUGACCACCAAUGACCCGGCCCUGCCGACAAACGAACCGAGUUACCCCAGGGAUAACAGCGCAAUCCCCUUCCAGAGCCCCUAUCGACAAGGGGGUUUACGACCUCGAUGUUGGAUCAGGAUGUCCUAAUGGUGCAGCCGCUAUUAAGGGUUCGUUUGUUCAACGAUUAAAAUCCUACGUGAUCUGAGUUCAGACCGGAGUAAUCCAGGUCAGUUUCUAUCUGUGAUAUGUUCUUUUCUAGUACGAAAGGACCGAAAAGAAGAGGCCCAUGCCCCAAGCACGCCUCAUCCUCACCUAAUGAAGCCAACUAAAGCAGACAAGAGGACAUAAGAGGCAUGCCAAAGAGCAUGGUUA